rnacentral:rRNA from 1 species
GAGUUUGAUCCUGGCUCAGAACGAACGCUGGCGGCAGGCUUAACACAUGCAAGUCGAGCGCCCCGCAAGGGGAGCGGCAGACGGGUGAGUAACGCGUGGGAACGUACCUUUUGCUACGGAAUAACUCAGGGAAACUUGUGCUAAUACCGUAUGUGCCCUUCGGGGGAAAGAUUUAUCGGCAAAGGAUCGGCCCGCGUUGGAUUAGCUAGUUGGUGAGGUAAAGGCUCAC